UUCGUGCUUCAUCCGACUACAUACGUAAAAUUUACAAAUAAGGCCUCUAAUUCUGAAAAUGGGGAAGUUGUGUGAUGUAAACUAUUGCAGAGUUAAUUAGAAAUGCAAUUACAAAGGAUAUUAAUUACAGAGGAGGACAUGAAGUAGAUAACAAAAGGAAAUACAUCGCUUAGUAAUAACUUAUAAGCCAUUUCUCAGGAUAAUGAUAUUUGCUGUGUCAAUCAACUGCAAUUAAGAUUAUCUCCAUGAGCUCUUCUGGUCUGCCUUAGGAAACAUCAGGGAAUGCCAGUAUGGCCUUUUAACAGCUGUCCCUCCUCUACGUCUACUGCCCACAGGGACAACAUGUCAUAUGUGCUUCGAGUUUCAAAACUUCAACUGAACAUCUGGAGACACAGGGAAGGAGACGGUCCUGUAAGAAUGGGCAGGAGCACUUCAGAACUGGCCAACAGAGGCACCACUGUUGACUAUCUACCUGACGAACUGAUGCUGGAGAUUUUCUCAUACUUUAGCUUCAGUGAAAACAUUGAAGUUUUACAAGAGGUGUGCACUCGAUGGAAAAUUCUGGCCCAGGAUGCUCACUUGUGGCUUGACUAGAAGAACGUUGUCAGGUUUAUGGCAACAGGGGAAACAUUCAGAUCACUGGCAUUUACAUUCAGAAUAUCUCCUUCUUACAUCGGUAAAAUCAUACAAGGUGUGCUGCCAGUUCUACGUAAGAAGUUACUGCCACGAGCCACUCCUUACUGAAAAUCUUGGACCAUUAGCAAGCUAAUGGAUUUUCUGUGCGAGAUUCAUUUACAGAAUACUUCAACAGCAGUGCAGGUGCAAGGAUAACACCAUGGCAAAGUGAUCACGUUAACAGAACCCUGUAGGCUUUGAACUCCCUAGCGUUACUGAAUAACCUUUAAAAAAUUGUAUGCACAUAAUAAUAAAUUGAACUUUUAUAACAUACAUCAGGGUUUGAUAUCCACUUUGUGUACACUUCAUUAUUAUAAUAAUAACUGAAUAUUAUGUGGGACGAUGGUACUUAUUCUUGGUUAUUACAAUAUGCAUA